GUUUUUGUAGUUGAAUGACAACAAUAGCUUUUCAAGCUAUGGGUCUAGGUUAAAGUCCUGGCAGGAACU
rnacentral:tRNA from 1 species